CCUACGGGAGGCAGCAGGGAGGAAUAGUGGUCAAUGGACGAGAGUCGGAACCAGCCAAGUAGCGUGAAGGAUGACUGCCCUAUGGGGUGUAAACUUCUGUUAUAUGGGAAUAAAACGUUCCACGUGUGGGAUUUUGUAUGUACCAUAUGAAUAAGGAUCGGCUAACUCCGUGCCAGCAGCCGCGGUAAUACGGAGGAUCCGAGCGUUAUCCGGCUUUAUUGGGUUUAAAGGGAGCGUAGGUGGUUUGUUAAGUCCGUUGUGAAAGUUUGCGGCUCAACCGUAAAAUUGAAGUUGAAACUGGCAGUCUUGAGUACAGUAGAGGUGGGCGGAAUUCGUGGUGUAGCGGUGAACUGCUUAGAUAUCACGCAGAACUCCGAUUGCGAAGGCAGUUCACUGGACUGCAACUGACACUGAGGCUCGAAAGUGUGGGUAUCAAACAGGAUUAGAUACCCUUGUAGUC
rnacentral:rRNA from 1 species